CUCUCUCGCUAUUCCCGAAAAGGGGGAAAGGAUUUCGGGUGGGCAGUCCUGAAGCCUCUCACUGGCCUUGUGGAGAGAGAGGGCUGGAGUGGAGGAGAGCCCUGGGGAGCAGGCCCAGGACAUUCUCUCUGGGACCCCUGAGCCCAUCUAACCUCCAGUCCAUCCAUCAACUGAUUACUGCUCAGUCACCUCAGACGAUGCCACUGGGAGCCGGAGAACUGCCUUGCUGAACCCUGCCUGAAUGCCUGACUCAUAACUCAUGGUGUCAGUGAAAGUGAAUACCCAGCCACAGCCAGGCAGGCACUGAGACAUCAAAGCAGCCAAGUGCCGCCCUGACGUUGAGCCUGCUGAGUGCUGCGAGGCUGCUGCUGUUGGCUCUGCGUGAUCAGGGGAGCGGAGAUCAAAGGUUUCCAUUAUGUGCUGAAAUACCCGAAGUUGGAAAACACCACAAGAAAGCCUUGGUCAGCCUGGCGAGAGGACCCUGCCAGCUGCACACCCAGGGAGGACUGCUCAGGCAGCUCCACAUGCUGCCAGCCUUGUGCGAAAGGUGAGCUUGUGGUUUCCAGUUACAGUAGGUGCCACUUCAUGUUGCAACCCCGGGUGGCCCCAGUCACCCAGUA
rnacentral:lncRNA from 1 species